GAUUUGUGAUGUGUGCUAUAGCGUCUACAAUAUUUUGUUGUAGUACUGCCGUGGCCAUGUCAUCCUUGGGCGGAUCCUGUGUGGCAUUAGGUUGUCGUGCAGGAGAGGCCCAUCGUUUACUGUGAAAAAAUUAGAGUGUUCAAAGCAGGCUUAUGCCGUUGAAUAUAUUAGCAUGGAAUAAUAAGAUAGGUCUUGGGUCCUAUUUUGUUGGUUUGCGGACCGGAGAAAUGAUUAACAGGGACAGUUGGGGGUAUUCGUAUUUCAUUGUCAGAGGUGAAAUUCUUGGAUUUCUGGAAGACGAACUACUGCGAAAGCAUU
rnacentral:rRNA from 1 species